CAGGCAACAAGCAUUUACUAAGAACCUACUAUGUGCCAGGCACUCUGCUAGAUAAUGGAGGGCACAGAGGGAGAUUUUAAUGUUUCAAAUCCCCUAAAUUGAAAGAUUAGACUGGAUAAAGGGGGUGGGGGUGGAGGGGAAGAAGGUUUAAGACUUAGGGACAUUAAGACAUUAGGAAAUGGUCCUACUAUGUUCUGGAAUACCCAGUUCAGGUCUGGAUGCCACAUUGGAGAGAGGAAGCCCAUUGGUAAUCAAAUCAACACUAUCAUUCUGGAAAAGGACCAGUCAAUUACACUAUGACUCAAUCACCAUCCCUGCUGUUCCCUGGACAACAAACACCUCUUUCGGCAGAAGAAUAAAGCAAAGAACACAGAGCUAUGAGUAAUCAUUUUUCUUUCACACAAGGACUACUAUGGUUUUCUUUAAGUUAUUCCACCUCUCAGCUGUCAGAAGGCCGGCCGGCUGUAAGUAGUCUUUACCAGGGUCUCUUGGGGAUGGUAAUCCAUACCAAAAUUGUGUAGAUGCGU
rnacentral:lncRNA from 1 species